rnacentral:rRNA from 1 species
UACAGAGGGUGCGAGCGUUGUUCGGAAUUAUUGGGCGUAAAGGGCGCGUAGGCGGUGCGGUAAGUCACCUGUGAAAUCUCCUGGCUCAACUGGGAGCUUGCAGGCGAAACUGCCGUGCUGGAGUGUGGGAGAGGUGCGUGGAAUUCCCGGUGUAGUGGUGGAAUGCGUAGAUAUCGGGAGGAACACCCGUGGCGAAAGCGGCUCUCUGGAACGGUACUGACGCUGAGACGCGAAAGCGUGGGGAGCGAACAGG